rnacentral:rRNA from 1 species
AGCUAAUAGAUACCCCGGUGGUCCACGCCCUAAACGAUGUCUACUAGUUGUUGGUGGAGUAAAAUCCAUGAGUAAACGCAGCUAAACGCGUGAAGUAGACCGCCUGGGGAGUACGGUCGCAAGAUUAAAAACUCAAAGGAAUUGACGGGGGCCCGCACAAGCGGUGGAUUAUGUGGAUUAAAUUCGAUGCAACGCGAAAAACCUUACCUGGCCUUGACAUGCCACUAACGAAGCAGAGAUGCAUUAGGUGCCCGUAAGGGAAAGUGGACACAGGUGCUGCAUGGCUGUCGUCAGCUCGUGUCGUGAGAUGUUGGGUUAAGUCCCGCAACGAGCGCAACCCUUGCCAUUAAUUGCCAUCAUUUAGUUGGGCACUUUAAUGGGACUGCCGGUGACAAACCGGAGGAAGGUGGGGAUGACGUCAAGUCCUCAUGGCCCUUAUGGCCAGGGCUUCACACGUAAUACAAUGGUCGGUACAGAGAGUUGCCAACCCGUCGAGGGGUAGCUAAUCUCAGAAAGCCGAUCGUAGUCCGGAUUGUUCUCUGC